AGUGAACGCUGGCGGUGGGCCUAACACAUGCAAGUCGAACGGCAGCACAGUAAGAGCUUGUUCUUACGGGUGGCGAGUGGCGGACGGGUGAGGAAUACAUCGGAAUCUACUUUUUCGUGGGGGAUAACGUAGGGAAACUUACGCUAAUACCGCAUACGACCUACGGGUGAAAGCAGGGGAUCUUCGGACCUUGCGCGAUUGAAUGAGCCGAUGUCGGAUUAGCUAGUUGGCGGGGUAAAGGCCCACCAAGGCGACGAUCCGUAGCUGGUCUGAGGGGAUGAUCAGCCACACUGGAACCGAGACACGGUCCAGACUCCUACGGGAGGCAGCAGUGGGGAAUAUUGGACAAUGGGCGCAAGCCUGAUCCAGCCAUACCGCGUGGGUGAAGAAGGCCUUCGGGUUGUAAAGCCCUUUUGUUGGGAAAGAAAAGCAGCAGGUUAAUACCCCGCUGUUCUGACGGUACCCAAAGAAUAAGCACCGGCUAACUUCGUG
rnacentral:rRNA from 1 species